rnacentral:piRNA from 1 species
UUUACAGAAUCUACGUUAACU